ensembl:lncRNA
AGAGAUUGGUAGCAUUUAUUACUAUCCACAAAGCCUAUGAAAGCCUACUAUAGAAAAUAGAAAAAUGACAACAAAAACAACAAAAAUGAGAGAAAUUAAGAAUAGAGAUAUGAUGUGGUAGUUUUGCUUUGUUUCUCUCUCUUCCCAUUGUUCCAAAGCUUACAGAAUUCAACCCUGCUUAUGUGGCUGUAUUUCUACAUUGUUUAUAGCCAAUGGACACAGGGAUGAAAGGCAUAAGUAAAGGGAGAGGAAAGAAUUGCAUAAUUAACUUUUUAAAUUAAUUCAUGACCCAGUUAAAAGGACAAGGAGGGGGUUAUUAAUUAAUUAAGGUGGGAAACCCUGUGGGCAUGUGAGAUUUAGAGAGUUUUAACUUACCAGCCAGGUUAAAAGGCUUUCUAUGGGCACUCAGCACUCACUGAAUCUGGAAUACAGUCAAUGUAAAAAAGAAAAAAAAAAGGUGAAAAUAUAUUGUAAAAGGUUUUCAGGGAAAUAAAAAGUCUAAAAAGACUGAAAAUUAAUUAGGAGGAGUCUUGACAAAUGUUUCAUCAGAAUUUGAGGAACAGCUUAGCCUGAUUCUCAGCUUUUACAAGCUUACUUAGCCCUACUUUACACAGGCAAUGGUUUAUGACAUAAGGAUAACAUUUUGUCCUGAAAUAUAUUUUUAUAAUCUUCUUAAGUCCUAAGAAUUUUAGCAGAACUCAUGGAUUAAUAGUUACAGCAACUGUAGCAACAACUACUGAUAUUAAUUUGAGUGAACUUUUUUGACUUUCUGGAGACACUAUAGCCUCUUCUUGCAGAUGUGGCACCUCUCAAUCAGUAUACAUUUUAAAUCAGCCAUCCUGGGUUCCCUCUUUCCUCUGGUACCUGUAACUGCAAAUGCCCAUUUAAGAUGCAGUUUUCUACAUCUCCUUAAAGGCUCAUACUACCUACGCUGCUUCCAGCACACAUCCAGGUACCACAGGAUAAAACUUAGAAUCCAGGCAGGAUGUCCAGUUUUAUUCUAUCAAAUGCCACAGAAACAAAGGGAACAAUCCAUUUUUCCUGAUAGAAGCCAACAGUUCGUAAGAGGUUUGAGAUGAGUGUAAGGAUACAAUUUGCCUAGAGAGUGCCUGAGGAUCAAGACAACCUGACUUUCCACGGAAUGAGUCUGUCAGCUGGCAUCUUGCAGUAAUUGCUUCCCAUGGCAGGACCUUACCAGCCGAGGGAGGACUGCUCUCGUCAACCCAAGAAUCAAUUUCUACAGUAGCUGAAUGAUAAUUGUUUGCUAAGGCUCGGGGAACUUGUUGGCAAGCCUGAAAAAGGGGCUGAAGCUAUGAUUGGCACUCAUUAACCCGGGAUUUGGAUUUGAUCAUUUACCUUAGUAGAAGAAUGUGUGGGGGUAAAAGAAGGAGAGGACUGCAAAAUGUUCUUUUGUUUGGAAGAAACAAAUGAAAUCAAUCGCAGAAUGAGUAUCUGAAUGUCAAGCCUGAAACCAUGUCAGUCUUCACUCAAACAGACCAAAUAACGUGCACUAUCAGGUGAUUUGAAUGCUUUCCUUCAAGUAGAAACAUCUCUUUGGAAUUUUUUCCGUGAUAGAUACCAACGUUUGCGUAUUUUGUUCACUAUGUUAAGUAUAUCCUUGGUGACCAGUGUCCUGAACUUACAUUGCUGGGUUAUGCUGUAAAGAAAGGGGAAGAAAAUAUAUGAGAGGUCCGGAGGAUGAAAUUCUGAACUCUACAGUGAAAAGUGUGCUUUUGCAGAAGGUAUUCACCACUGUCUUGGAUAUGGCCCUCACGGUUUUGUUUCCUAGUGUUUGCUGAUUAUUUAUGUGACCUUUCAAAACCUACUGACAAACACAUAAACACUAUUUUUUUUCUGUAUUACAACAAAUGUAUGCAUAUCACACUGCCAGUGCUGGUUCAGGGAGAAGCACAGGGCAGUGACUAAGUCGAUACCACGGUAUUUAGAUGACUGCUUUACAGAGAUCCUGUAUGAUCUUCAGCACCUGUCCGUGUUUCUGGAAGUGGCUGACCCAGAUUUUCACCUCAGCCCUGACUUCACUCUGCAUGCAUAUGUGCAUUACUAGCAGGAAGCAGUCUCCAUUUCACAACACUAGUCUCAUCAAGGCCAUUCUCUUCAAAUCCUUUUGUGUUCUGAACUGUGGAAUGGCAGACAUAUGAGUCUGGAAGUCUGUAAGUUGUCCAAGUAUUGCUGUGUUGCCAGUGGUGGCUCUAAUGAGUUUUAGCUCAUGGGAACCUCAAAAGAGCGCCUCGUGGCAGACACUUUUGCAU